UCAUCAGCUCAGUUGGUGGAGCAUGAGACUCUUAAUCUCAGGGUUGUGGGUUCAAGCCCCAUGUUGGGCAAAA
rnacentral:tRNA from 1 species